GUUUACUUUGGUACGACACUUACAGAGGAAUAUUAACUAGAGAAAGCAGCAUCACAACAGGGGUGGAAAAUCAGCCUGUCAGGGACUCAUUCCAAAUGCCACGGAAAGGAGAGCGCCUUCAAGAUUGUUUCAUCAAGGGAGCAGACAAACCGAGCCCUGCCAGGGGACACCCAGCUGCUCUGGGGGCAGCUCCUGUCUCCCACGUGCCUUUGGACUGGGUGCAGCACAGCCACAGUCCCUGUGCUCGGGAUUUGUGCCCAGAAUGAGUGCAGCCACCCCAAAGGGGCCCUCGGAGGAGACGUGUGAGAGGAGGCACGAGGCAGCACGAGGUCAGCUGCUGGGUGUGGGCUGCAGGCGUCACCCACCUCUGCUCCGCAGGAGGACACGGCUGGUCACGAGCAGAAGGGUUCCCUUCGUGCUGCUUUUCCUGCCUGCAGUCCCUCCAAGCCCCCUUCGUGCUGCUUUUCCUGCCUGCAGUCCCUCCAAGCCCCCUUCAUGCUGCUUUUCCUGCCUGCCGUCCCUCCAAGCCUCAGGCAUUCUGCACAGCCAGGCCUCUGACUCCUUGCUUUGCUGCCAUGAAAGCAGUUCCAGCAGCAGCUGUGCCCGAGUCCUGCCCCAGCCCAGGCAGGAGCAGCAUCCCCUGCCCCAGGGUCAGGCGUGGGCCACGGGUGGCCUGACACCUCCCUGCCAGCCAGGCCCUCCCUGCUUUAACCGAAUUUACAAUAACUGAAAAGAAUACCUUUAUCCCUCUAAUAUCCCAUAGUCCUGAACGGAUCAAACGAACAUGCCAGUCAAACGGUUUAUUUUAGACAGGAAACAGCCCUGCAGACCAUUAUUACAAAUUAAAGGUAUUAUAUUGAAGUCAUUUUUAAUCCCUUAUAAAUGAAUAACCCUUCUACCAACAUUAAAUCAUUUUCUUCUGCACAAGUAACAUUUCCUUUCGGCAGCACAGGAUCUAUUCCCCUGCAGACCAGGAGCUAUCCUUCCGUCAGAGCCGGCGGCGGCUGAUUACACCGCACCAGGACUCAUAAAAUUCCCACAGAACUGGCACUUGCAUCUUCCCAGGGCAGCGCUGCCUUCCCUCAUCCAUAAGCAAUAAUGCCACUUUAUUCUCCGUAAUCAGCACGCAGAUGAUUAUUUAGACACAGCCUCAUAAUCCUCCUCGCAGCAUCCACGGAAGAUCUGGAUCUGAAGGCUGCAGCCAAGGAGUUCCCCUGCUGCAGGCAGGGACGGGGAGCCGGGCCCCCUUCCGCAGCACCGGGCUUAUUUAUGUUUGGCAGCUGGACAGAAAGUGGAGCAGGAGUCUGGGAAGGGAGCGAGCUCAGACAACUUCGAGCAGAACCGCACAACGUCCGUUUCGGCACGGCUCUAAUAGGGCAUCAAUAUUGUCAUUUAAACUUAGGAUCAGUACACAAAUGCGCUAUAAAUGGGAAAAUCCCUUGUGAUACUGGUGUGAAACACGCAGCUCAUUGAUUUUGUUCUUGAUGGUCGGCUAUUAAAGCGGCGAACACGCUGACCUUGUGUGCACAGGCAGACAGUGUGCAUGCAACAUAAAGUUGAAAAACAGCUUUAAAAUGACUGUUUAAAACUGCAGACUGCAAACCUUCAAAUACAGACAGGCAUUCCAUAGUUUAUUUUAAAUUGGCAUCCGCAAUUUAACAAGCUAUUCCAACAAAGGAUUAGCAUAGCAUGUGCUUUUCCUUAGCCAUCAAUUAUGACAUGGGGAAUGCAGGGCACAACUUCAGUGUCAGAUUACAACGUGCUGCACAAAUCCACUCACAGCUCUUUGCUCUGCAAUUCCCACCUCGCAGGAGCCAGGCCACAACAUUUCCCCAGCAUCAUCCUGCACCUCCCUGGACCUGCAGAUUACAAGUCCUCGGCUGCUUCUCUGCCAUAUUUCUACCAUUUAAACGAAGAAAAAACACACACUGGUAUUGAUGUCUAUGCUCUCAUUUCAAAUAAAACCUCAAGUGCAUCUCUUCAUUGUAGAUUCCAUUAAAUAAACAUUUUUGUUUUUAAAAAAU